rnacentral:lncRNA from 1 species
CAUCUUGACUGCUAUUGCACUCCACAUGUUUACCUCAGAGUAUGGUCAUCAAGCACUAGAGAGGUUUCAUUUUAAAACAACAUUUGGGAGCAAAUAAAUGCGAGAUGAAAAUGAUGGUUGGAAUGGACAUCGUAUCCUUACUGCGGAAAACAGGGUUCAUACAUUAACUUUAAGGAAUAUUGUCACUCGCAGUAUAAAAUUGCUUAACUUCGCAAGAUCGUUCAGCGUGAUACAAUACGAGGGACAAUCUGAACAUUAUUCCUCAAUAUCAGUGAAACCCUUGAAAUAUAAUAUACUGCGAGGGCUAAUGUUCCUCUAUAAUAC